rnacentral:rRNA from 1 species
GGCUUAGAGUUUGAUCAUGGCUCAGGACGAACGCUGGCGGCGCGCCUAACACAUGCAAGUCGAACGGAAUGCGGAGAGGAUUUAUCUUUUCUGUGUUUAGUGGCGAACGGGUGAGUAACGCGCGAGGAACCUGCCUCAAAGAGGGGGACAACAGUUGGAAACGACUGCUAAUACCGCAUAAGCCCACGGGGCCGCAUGGCUCUGAGGGAAAAGGAGCAAUCCGCUUUGAGAUGGCCUCGCGUCCGAUUAGCUGGUUGGUGAGGUAACGGCCCACCAAGGCGACGAUCGGUAGCCGGACUGAGAGGUUGAACGGCCACAUUGGGACUGAGACACGGCCCAGACUCCUACGGGAGGCAGCAGUGGGGAAUAUUGCACAAUGGGGGAAACCCUGAUGCAGCGACGCCGCGUGGAGGAAGAAGGUCUUCGGGUUGUAAACUCCUGUUGUUGGGGAAAAGAAGGAUGGUACCCAACAAGGAAGUGACGGCUAACUACGUGCCAGCAGCCGCGGUAAAACGUAGGUCACGAGCGUUGUCCGGAAUUACUGGGUGUAAAGGGAGCGCANGCGGGUAUGCAAGUUGGGAGUGAAAUACAUGGGCUCAACCCAUGAACUGCUCUCAAAACUGUGUAUCUUGAGUAGUGCAGAGGUAGGCGGAAUUCCCGGUGUAGCGGUGGAAUGCGUAGAUAUCGGGAGGAACACCAGUGGCGAAGCGGCCUACUGGGCACCAACUGACGCUGAGGCUUCGAAAGUGUGGUAGCAAACAGAUUAGAUACCCUGGUUAGUUCCCCACCGUAAACGAUGAUUACUAAGUGUUGGAGAUAGACUCCUUUCAGUGCCGCAGUANNCAUAAGUAUUCCNNUGGGAGUACG